rnacentral:rRNA from 1 species
UUGGAGGGCAAGUCUGGUGCCAGCAGCCGCGGUAAUUCCAGCUCCAAUAGCGUAUAUUAAAGUUGUUGCAGUUAAAAAGCUCGUAGUUGAACUUCGGGAUUUACCCAUUGGUCAGGCUUAAUUGUCUGUACUGGUGAGAUGAAUCUCUACCUUCUGAGGAACUCUCAUGCCAUUUAUUUGGUGUGAUUGGAAAUCAGGACUAUUACUUUGAAAAAAUUAGAGUGUUUAAAGCAGGCUAACGUCUGAAUAUAUUAGCAUGGAAUAAUAAAAUAGGACGGCUUGGUUCUAUUUCGUUGGUUUCUAGGAUCACCGUAAUGAUUAAUAGGGAUAGUUGGGGGCAUUAGUAUUCAAUUGUCAGAGGUGAAAUUCUUGGAUUUAUUGAAGACUAACUACUGCGAAAGCAUUUGCCAAGGAUGUUUUCAUUAAUCAAGAACGAAAGUUAGGGGAUCGAAGACGAUCAGAUACCGUCGUAGUCUUAACCAUAAACUAUGCCGACUAGGGAUCGGACGAAGUUAAUUUAUAAUGACGCGUUC